GCAGCGAUGUCCGAGUGGUUAAGGAGUUUGACUCGAAAUCAAACCGGCUCUGCCCGCGUAGGUUCGAAUCCUGCUCGCUUCG
rfam:Toxocara canis scaffold1468, whole genome shotgun sequence.